GUAAUUUUCUUGACUUUUCGCUCUACUAGUGUAAAAACAGUAAUGGUUAUCCAUUUUGCAACUGGGGUUUUGCUCUUCUACAACCGGGUUGGGGCCAGAACAAGGCUGUUCAUCAACUUGAUACAGCUGAUGGUGGGUUUUGUUCUACUACAACAGAUGGUGCAUCUUGUUCUGGUUCAAAAGGGACACAUGGUCUCCAAACUGUUUCCCUCCCCACAUCCAUAAGCGCAACGCCUUUUGCGGUCAAAUCAACACUGAUCCGAUCACGCAGUCAAAUCAGCCCUGAUCUGAUCACUUCUUGAAAAAUCCUUGUUUUUCCUCGCCAUUGCUCUUUCCUCAAUAAGCCCCAGCACAUCCUGCUCUGUUAGUUCAGCCCUCUUCAACGCCUUCUCUUUUAGCUGCUGCAAAACCUCAGAAUAAGUGCAAGGGGGAAGUAGCCCCAAGAUUUUCAGAACUAACUUGGCUUCUUUCUCUAUUUCAGUAAGGGACUGAAUCAAUGAUAGUUGUUGCUUUUGUUGUUUCUUCUUGAGCAUGCUUAAAGAACUGUUUAUGAACUUCAAGGCUUCUUGGAAAGCACCAAUCAAGAUAUGCGAGGUGCUUAAAUCAUCUGACAUUUUAGUCUCAAACUCUUCACGUAGUUUAUUGAUGCAUUUUUG
rnacentral:misc_RNA from 1 species